rnacentral:rRNA from 1 species
GACGAACGCUUGCGGCGUGCUUAACACAUGCAAGUCGAACGGAAAGGCCCUGCUUUUGUGGGGUGCUCGAGUGGCGAACGGGUGAGUAACACGUGAGUAACCUGCCCUUGACUUUGGGAUAACUUCAGGAAACUGGGGCUAAUACCGGAUAGGAGCUCCUGCUGCAUGGUGGGGGUUGGAAAGUUUCGGCGGUUGGGGAUGGACUCGCGGCUUAUCAGCUUGUUGGUGGGGUAGUGGCUUACCAAGGCUUUGACGGGUAGCCGGCCUGAGAGGGUGACCGGCCACAUUGGGACUGAGAUACGGCCCAGACUCCUACGGGAGGCAGCAGUGGGGAAUAUUGCACAAUGGGCGGAAGCCUGAUGCAGCAACGCCGCGUGCGGGAUGACGGCCUUCGGGUUGUAAACCGCUUUCGCCUGUGACGAAGCGUGAGUGACGGUAAUGGGUAAAGAAGCACCGGCUAACUACGUGCCAGCAGCCGCGGUGAUACGUAGGGUGCGAGCGUUGUCCGGAUUUAUUGGGCGUAAAGGGCUCGUAGGUGGUUGAUCGCGUCGGAAGUGCAAUCUUGGGGCUUAACCCUGAGCGUGCUUUCGAUACGGGUUGACUUGAGGAAGGUAGGGGAGAAUGGAAUUCCUGGUGGAGCGGUGGAAUGCGCAGAUAUCAGGAGGAACACCAGUGGCGAAGGCGGUUCUCUGGGCCUUUCCUGACGCUGAGGAGCGAAAGCGUGGGGAGCGAACAGGCUUAGAUACCCUGGUAGUCCACGCUGUAAACGGUGGGUACUAGGUGUGGGGUCCAUUCCACGGGUUCCGUGCCGUAGCUAACGCUUUAAGUACCCCGCCUGGGGAGUACGGCCGCAAGGCUAAAACUCAAAGGAAUUGACGGGGCCCCGCACAAGCGGCGGAGCAUGCGGAUUAAUUCGAUGCAACGCGUAGAACCUUACCUGGGUUUGACAUGGAUCGGGAGUGCUCAGAGAUGGGUGUGCCUCUUUUGGGGUCGGUUCACAGGUGGUGCAUGCCUGUCGUCAGCUCGUGUCGUGAGAUGUUGGGUUAAGUCCCGCAACGAGCGCAACCCUUGUUCACUGUUGCCAGCACGUUAUGGUGGGGACUCAGUGGAGACCGCCGGGGUCAACUCGGAGGAAGGUGGGGAUGACGUCAAGUCAUCAUGCCCCUUAUGUCCAGGGCUUCACGCAUGCUACAAUGGCUGGUACAGAGAGUGGCGAGCCUGUGAGGGUGAGCGAAUCUCGGAAAGCCGGUCUCAGUUCGGAUUGGGGUCUGCAACUCGACCUCAUGAAGUCGGAGUCGCUAGUAAUCGCAGAUCAGCAACGCUGCGGUGAAUACGUUCCCGGG